CUUAUCAUCAUAUUUUGAUCGGAACUCCUCAACUUGUCCUUCAACGACAGGGAAUUUAAGGUCGAACGUUGUAAGGACAGGCUUGAACCCUUCAUUUGUGGGUUCGUUAAAAGGGGUUGGAGAGACUUCGAGUAGAAGUACGGAUGGACCGUAGAAAAGUGGAAGAGGGUUUUCUUUAAAGAGCAAGUUAGCUAAGGAGGACUCAGUAGCUUUGUAUAAAUGAGUAUAGUUAUGAUAUUCAUGGAUUUGGUAAAACAAUUGGUAUAUAUGAGACAGAUCAGAUUUUGUAGCAAGACGAACUCGUGUGUAUAUCUUUCCAGUGAUGGUAACAUUGUUGGAUUCCGAUGAUGCAUCGAUGGUUAUUGUUUCAGAUGGAGUUGGAAGUUGAGGAGCAGGAGCCAUGGGAUAUUGUUUAGUUAAGUUUGAGAGGAAUAUUGAGGUUUAAGAUAAAAGAAAUGUUGAA